ACUCUGGGAUAAGCCUGGGAAACUGGGUCUAAUACUGGAUACUACCUCUUGCCGCAUGGUGGGUGGUGGAAAGGGUUUUACUGGUUUUGGAUGGGCUCACGGCCUAUCAGCUUGUUGGUGGGGUAAUGGCUCACCAAGGCGACGACGGGUAGCCGGCCUGAGAGGGUGACCGGCCACACUGGGACUGAGACACGGCCCAGACUCCUACGGGAGGCAGCAGUGGGGAAUAUUGCACAAUGGGCGGAAGCCUGAUGCAGCGACGCCGCGUGAGGGAUGACGGCCUUCGGGUUGUAAACCUCUUUCAGUAGGGAAGAAGCGAGAGUGACGGUACCUGCAGAAGAAGCGCCGGCUAACUACGUGCCAGCAGCCGCGGUAAUACGUAGGGCGCAAGCGUUGUCCGGAAUUAUUGGGCGUAAAGAGCUCGUAGGCGGUUUGUCGCGUCUGCUGUGAAAGCCCGGGGCUCAACCCCGGGUCUGCAGUGGGUACGGGCAGACUAGAGUGCAGUAGGGGAGACUGGAAUUCCUGGUGUAGCGGUGAAAUGCGCAGAUAUCAGGAGGAACACCGAUGGCGAAGGCAGGUCUCUGGGCUGUUACUGACGCUGAGGAGCGAAAGCAUGGGGAGCGAACAGGAUUAGAUACCCUGGUAGUCCAUGCCGUAAACGUUGGGCACUAGGUGUGGGGGACAUUCCACGUUUUCCGCGCCGUAGCUAACGCAUUAAGUGCCCCGCCUGGGGAGUACGGCCGCAAGGCUAAAACUCAAAGGAAUUGACGGGGGCCCGCACAAGCGGCGGAGCAUGCGGAUUAAUUCGAUGCAACGCGAAGAACCUUACCAAGGCUUGACAUUCACCGGACCGCCCCAGAGAUGGGGUUUCCCUUCGGGGCUGGUGGACAGGUGGUGCAUGGUUGUCGUCAGCUCGUGUCGUGAGAUGUUGGGUUAAGUCCCGCAACGAGCGCAACCCUCGUUCUAUGUUGCCAGCACGUGAUGGUGGGGACUCAUAGGAGACUGCCGGGGUCAACUCGGAGGAAGGUGGGGAUGACGUCAAAUCAUCAUGCCCCUUAUGUCUUGGGCUUCACGCAUGCUACAAUGGCCGGUACAAAGGGUUGCGAUACUGUGAGGUGGAGCUAAUCCCAAAAAGCCGGUCUCAGUUCGGAUUGAGGUCUGCAACUCGACCUCAUGAAGUCGGAGUCGCUAGUAAUCGCAGAUCAGCAACGCUGCGGUGAAUACGUUCCCGGGCCUUGUACACACCGCCCGUCAAGUCACGAAAGUUGGUAACACCCGAAGCCGGUGGCCUAACCCCUUGUGGGAGGGAGCCGUCGAA
rnacentral:rRNA from 1 species